GCCUUGGCCUCUGGUGGGAAUUCAGAACUGGUGGGGAUAGGGUUUUCUCCAGCUGCCCCUUGGGGCGUCAUUGUCCUCUUUCUGCCAUCCUCCACCCCCACCCUCUGCUUGUCCAAGCUCCCUCUUCAAGGUCCUCCUUGAGGCUGAAGGACCCCAAGGACAUGUUUGCCCAAGGAGCUUUGCAUCCAUGAGCUCUGUGCAGGGGGCUGGUGCUCACGUAUGGGCCUGCGGCCCCAUGGAGGUGGAAAUCCGGUGCCGUAGACGCUCCAGAAACAGCCCUGGAGUUCCACCACUGCCUGGCCUUCCGCAGCCUUGUGAUGUCGCCCUUAAAGAGCCAGUGCCACCCCGGCCGUCGCCCGUCCCACCCGCCGCACCCACAGACCUCCCCUGGGCCGGUGCCCACAGAGCAACACCUCCCACCAAGAGGGAUUUUUCCGUGCCUGCGCUGUGGAACACUGGCACUGAGCACCCCACGACAUUCCCUUAUUGUACUCUGUGGUCUCAUGCCUCUGAGGACAGACCGCAUGGCCACAGCAGAAAACCUAAUGUGAACGUGGAGCCAGCAGCGCCAGCAGGUGUGUGCAGCAGGACAUGAGGAUCAGCAAGCCAGGCAGCGCGAGCAGUGGGAUGCAGAGAGGCAGCAGCACGGUGAGCUGGAGCUGACCACGCCAGAUGGAGACAAAGAUAAAUCAAGCUGACCGAUUAACCUAUAAUUAGCAUAACUGCUGAGGUUUCAUUAACCCUAUGAUCUGGCCAUGGCUGGGAGCCUACCAGGGGCAGCAGCCACUUCAAGGAGCAGACUGUGGUCAAUCACCACCUAUGUUGCUAUUACCCCAGCUGGGGAGAACAGGGGCCACGAAAAGAAGUGCAAGAGCAAACCCGGUGAUUUCAAAGGGAUCCCAACAGUUCCUUCAGCCAAAAUAAACCCGAGUUUAAAAAUG